UAACUUUUAUCCUCUAUGCUUUUGCACCGUAUUAGUUGCUCCCAAAAGUGGCUUGAGGGAGAAGUGCGCACAAACUUCAUCCAUGCGCAAUUUGGAAACUUUAAAGUGUCUUUUUACGCACGCUGCUAUUCACUUCUAGUAACAAAUGAAAUGACUUUUGCAGCUCAUAGUCAAAUAACACAAUUUAAACUUGUGGAAUGACAUAAUGUCUUUGGUUAAGAGGGUAAAAGAAUCCUGUAAACGUUUAAUUUCUGUGCGCAAACAGGAGAUAUUUGGCUGAGAGGCUGUCGAUGCAACAGCUCCUUCUUCAUCGAUGACCUUUAAAAGAAACCACAGCCCAUCAGAUAACUGAACAGGGCCACCGUGUCUUUGCAUUCUGACUGUGCGUCAGCCCACACAGCAGGCAAAUAGUCAAAUACUCGCCUGGCAGCCUGCAUGAAGCGAGUGCGUGACACGCCCCAAAAAACACGCACACGCAGGAUAAGUUAGAGCUCGAGUGUCGUCUGACGGUUUGAUUUGUUUUUCUCUGAGUUGUUUUUUUAAACUUACAUUCGCACAGGACAUCGUUAAAGUUUUGUUUAUUAUAAUUUAAAAAAGAAAGGGCAGUGCACACACACAAACACACACGGUAGGUGAAAUGGGCGUGUGUCAGGGUUUGUCUUAGUUGUGAUGAACGACAGAAUGCUUAAUACGCACUUUUUAUUUUCCUUCGUAUAACGCCGUUGUUCGUGUACUCCUUCGCACAUAUUGCUGCAGAUUUUAUUUUACUUUUUGCAUGAAAUUAUAAUAACACUGCACAUACUUGACACCAAAGACCCGGCCUCUGUGACAGAUGACCUGCAACGCAGAGACAGGAGAACACCUGCGUCAGACAUCUCUGGAGGUUUGACACUUUACACCGAGCAUUAACUAGUUCCCCCGGACUGGGUUGGUGGUAAAGAAAGGAAAGGUUUUGUGUCGCGUUGCAACAAUACUUACUUUAACUCAUCCCCUUAAAGAGGGAUAUUUUACCAAUGUGCAAAACACCGCAAAAAUACCUUUGGAAAAUGUCAUGUAACAGGUGUGGUAUGACUUAAAAAACGUGUUUUUUCAUUUGUUUUUUAUCUUUAACAUAUCAUUGACAAUCUGUUUUCCUCCAGUUCGUGUGCAGGACACGUCUCUAACGGAGAGGCGGGGGUCAUUUCUAUUGAGUUUGAGUUUUGUAGCUCAACAAAUUACUGCAAAGUUCCAUUUUGUGUAGAGAAAAGUCUGAACUAAUCUUAAAUUAGUACACAACUACACAUACGAAGCAGAGGAAGGAUAACGUGCACCACUGAGGCCUGGCUGUGUCCGAGGUGUCCUGCUAAGUUGGACUGCGAAUCAUGUCCAUUUUUAUCGAUACAUCCUGUUAACUAACUAUUGUAACUUUACACUAACCAGCAUUUUAACUUCCAGUCUUUCUCUUCACAUUCGUGAGGUAAACAGGUAUGCCACAGGUUGACCACAGCCUGGAGCGGUAAAUGAGUCAAAAAUGACCCUCCGUGUGCACGUUUUUUUCUUCUUCUUCUUCAUUUUUGUAUCGCUUUGUCUUCGAUGCGUUUUCUGGCGUGUGUUGUCAAACAGCAUGGCGUUGUGAGGGGCGAGGGCGGGGGUCUGUAGCCGGUGACUCCGUUGACACUAACAACUUCCUGACGCAACGCUGCUGUAACAGCGGCAGGGAAACAGGCAGCGCUCACCUUUUUAUAUCCACUCAACCUACAGUACAUGAUCCUAUUUCUGCAUCUAUAAGCCGUCUGUCUGCACUCUGUGUCUGUCUGUCUGUCUGUCUGUCUGCCGAGGUUGUACUACAGACUGUUUUGGGUUUGAAGUGUUCAGCCCCGGCGCUGGUACUUGUUGCGUUGCCCUGUGUCCCCGGCAAGCAGGAAAUCAAAAUACCUGUCCUGCUGUGUCCCAACUGUCCUGCUGGUUUGCAGUAGAGUUACAUGUCUCUUCUCCUGCCACAAAGGGACGACAGUAGGAAGUUCUAACUUUGGUUCAAUAUUUAGGUUGAGUAAUCCAAAGAGUUUGAAUCGGAUGGAAAUGAAUACGAGGCGUUUAUUGCUGAGGUAGCAGGGCAGUGAAGGCGUCACUGAGCCUGUCUUCACCGCCCAGCAGUGUCCGGAACUGGCACAGUUUGGAGUGGAAACAGAGCAAAGGCGUGUGUGGAAGGUUGAACUCAGGUUGAGAAGCUUGCAGCUUUAGUGGAUUAAAUAGAUAACGAGAAAGAAAGAUUGUGUGCAAAUCCUAAUCUGCAGAAAUCCACGGGGUUGUGUAUGCAAAGGUCUCCUCUCUGCCGUGCGCACUGGGCGCACGGAGGUGUGGAGCACCGAGUCUGGGUCUUUUCAGAGCCUUUGGGACCUGGGCGGCCGUGUGCCCUGUCUGAUUCACUUGGAAACGAUGAUCAUGAUCGAGAAUUUAGUCGAUAAGACGACUCGGUGACCUCUUUUGGUUGGAUGUGUGUUUUUUGUGUGUGUGCGUGUUGUGCUCGGCCCUGCGAACUACACAGGCUUCAGUUGCGCUCUAUAGUGUUUGUGUCAGAACAUGAGUAAAUGUCCCCCCUCUCUCUCUCUCCCUCUCUCCCUCUCUCUCUGUCUCUCUCUCUCUCCGUCGCUCUCAGUCGUAUCCACCGCUCCGCCCCACCACCACCACCAUCACCACCACCUCCUCCUCCCCCCCCCCCCCCCCCCUUUUCGCAACAUUGACGCAACCAAAAACACUGGGAACAAAAGAAACAACUUCCUUGAAGCUUUGCUGAAACUGCACUUAGUCGGAGGACGCGGAGGGCUGGUUGUCAACCAACUUGCCUUGGAGGAUGGACGCUUCGAGGUUGAAGGUUGUCACCGCGGACUGACCGGCUGGCAGAGAGGAGAAGAGAGGAGAAAGAAAAGAUGCGGAGUCGAUCACUCCGGUACGCAUCCAGCCCUCACCGAAGACAAACUGGUUGCAGAGCAGACCAACGAUGUUCAAGAUCAUCUGUCCCCUUAAGGAAAACAGUACAACUGCUGCUGAAGGAUGCAUUGAUUUACAACACAACGUUGAAAAGAAUAUUUUUUUUGUUGUUGUUGUUUUUUUUUUGUUAUGUUUUGUUUUUUUUGUUUGGUUUUUUUUUUUUAGACAUGGAGCAGCACAGGCUGUACUUCUGGUGAUGCUGUAGCAGCACGGAAUGGUUUGUGAGUUACACAGAGAUGCAGGCCAUACUGUGCUGCAGCAGCAAAACCAGACCAUUACUACGCAGACAUCAACUUUCUGUACACUAUUUUGUUUUGAGUCAAAGUUGAAUUUAUGUUGUAAACGGUACUUUUUUUGUUUGUUUAUAUGAUCAAUCUGGUGGCUGUGCUAUAGCAGCACGUAAAUAUUGGAGUUAAGACUCUAGCCCAAGUCUCCAGUAUUGAUCGUGCUGCUGAAGCAAAGCUCACCACUCGCUGUCAGUGCAAACUCUGUCUAACCAUCACAGGUAAAUUGAUUUGAAUUUCAGUCGUCAUUUUGUGUUUUUUAUGUUGAAAUGUGUUCGCAAAAAUAAAAAGUGUUGACCGGUAAUGUGAUUUUAUUUGAACAUGGCCGACAGACUGGACUUUUUUUUGCAUUAUAUGUUGUUUUGUUUACUUUUCGGGUCAAAGGAAAUUUUGACAAGGUUCACGCAAGAAAAAUCACGCACUUUAUGGCCUGCGUGGCCUCGUGGUUUCCGACCUCAUCGGAGAUGUGUGUUUGUGACGAACUGGUUUACGGUGGAUUAACGCCGCCCCCUCUAUACUGUAAAUUACACCUUAAAAUGUUAAGAGUUGAGUUCCUAAAAAUGUUGACUUCGUGUAGGUCGGUGUGUGAGUUCUCUUGACAACAAUAAGAACGCAUUUUCUGCUCGGAUCAGGCCGGACUUAUAGGAAGAAAUCUAGAUUUAAAUUAAUCGUUGCCAUAACGACGCGUCCGCCUUACUUGAACCUGUAGAAUUUAACGCGCUAUAAUCCACUGGUUUUAACGAACGUCACAAUGUUAAAGCCUCUUGUUUAUAAGAUCGCUUUUAAAACACUGGUGCCGUGGUCGAAUGUCUGCUGUGUUGUUUUGUCUCACAGAUGAACGUCUGUACACAUUCACGUUUUUCUACCAACGUUUACAAUAAAUUAUAUGAUCGUGGGUCUUUUUUUUUUAUCUUUAAAAUUUGGUUCUAACCCCGGUUCAAUACACUGCCCGAAUAGUUUGAGGAGUUUGCGUUGCACUUUUUAAAUAAUGCGCGAUGUAUUGAUAUCGUAUGUAUAAUAAACGUUUUUUGUUUGUAAUUCACGAUCGCCUGCUUAUAUAUAUAUUAUACUGUAUAUUUAGCCCUGGUUUUACUUUUUUGUAUUUGUAUUUCCUUUCAUCUUGGCCUUGUGGGCCUUUAUUGGUGUUUCUACAUUUAUGUAACUUAUCGUUCACAUUUUUUGGGGGGUUGUGGGUGAGAAAAAGGGUUUCCUGCGAAGCGGUAAAAUAACAUGGUUAAAAUAACUGACUUAAAUAUAUAUAUAUAUAUAUAUAAUUACACAUUUUGACUCUGGCACGGUGACAAAAUUGAUUUUAUAAAAUUUAUCAGACCUUUUUAAAAAUAUAUUUUUAUACAGUACUUUGGUUUUAAUCGCAUAUAUUAAAAUUAUCAUUUAUUUCAUACACGCAUACACACACUUAUCUUACUUAAAGCAGUUGGGAUUAUUGAUAUAGCUAUUGUUUUCCCGGCUGUUGAUCGCUUAUAUUCAUUUUUAUUUCAUUAUAUUUCAAUAAAUACUGCGAUUAACCGUUACUUAUAUAAAACAGAUAGUCCCGAGGAUAUAAGCAGUAUAAGCAAUUGUUUUCUCUCUCACACACACACACACACACGUGUAUGUUAAUGAAUGGUAAAUACCUCGAUGCUUUUGCAAAAUACAGGAAGCUUGCUAAAUAGUUAUUUUUUACUCUAAUUUACCGUAAAAUCCCCACAAUCACGAUGCGCGUCAGGGUAAUUACGGGACUUCAUCAAAAAUAUAUUUUGAUAUAUUAAGAGGAUUGUAUUCUACUUUUGUUUCAGUCACUGCUAUACUUUGUGUAAUGUAUAUUUUUAAUGUAUGUACAUUUUGGUCUUAAACAUCGCUGUGAGUUAUCAGUCCGGCAACCAAUUUCCAGAAAGGUCUUUUUUCUAGGUAGGCUUUUCUGUUAUUUUUAGACUAAUUGUAAGUCUUAGUUUAAAGGGGUUUUUGGAAUUAAUUUUAAUGUUCCUCUAUAUGCUGCAUGGUUACAGAGGUCUCUCGCACGAGCAGUAUGUGAGUGCGUGCGCGCGCACGGGUAUCUUGACCUGAAUCGACUUUCAGCCUUCUUUCUAGUCUGAUAAGUUGGUUUUGCUGAUUUAGUGUAUUAAUGCUUGCUUUGCUCAGGAGAAUGGAUCGAGAACUUUGCCAAACGAAUGAGACGUUUUUACACUGAUUCACGCAUUUGGAAAAUAAGGCCAUUGUAAAGUUCUCUUUUGUUUCUUUAAAUGUUUUAAUGCCUUUAGUCGUGUUAAUGGCAUUGCAUGAAUUGUUUAAAAUACUCUUUACUCCUGUCCUGUAGGAUUCUUCUGAUGGGCUGCUUCAGUGUAUAAGCGUGUACAGAAAGUCGUGAUGUCUCGCAGCGCAGGUCAAGAGUUGGACCACAGUACAGUGCUUUAACAGGAUUUGGGCCUAGAAGAUCGAUGGAUGAACAGACGUACCUCUGGAUGAGAGGAAAACCAUCUUCUACACACACACACACACAAGUCCUAAGCACCUAGAAACGACGAAGUAUGGAUUUACAAUAUUACCAGGAAACAUAAAUUAUUUAUUUGUCCUUUCUUAAAAUCCCGAGUCUCACAAUCCAAUUACGUCCUAUUUCAUGCCUAUUCAAGACUUUUACUGCGCACUUAAAACUACUGGCGCAGAGCAGAGUGGUGUCUAAAUAUAGGCCUUUGUUGGUGAGAGAGAAAGGAGAAAUAAGUGGCACUGACAGCGCACAAAUCAGACGUAUUAUUUGACUAAUUGUGUUGCUUUGGAUUUAAUUCUUUCAGGCAAGUUCUGAAUGAAGAUGCGCAUCAGAUAAAUUCUGCCAACUCAGCAUUUCUAAUUUGGGAGCCUGCAGAUGUUACCUCCUGAAGUCGUGCAGGGAAUGCGAAAUGCAGCGCUGCCGAAGAGUUAUGCAACGUUCGUAACCUUGAAUUACGACUCUGGCACACAAAUGCCCAUGUGUAGAGACAAGGCCACGCACGGAUUACACACUACAUUCAUCAUCUAAUGAAGUUAGGCACUGAUUUGUUACUUAUUAACUAUUUUAGCCGCAUCAAAGGGACACAAAAACGAACGUGGGGGUGUUUGGAGUGUUUCAGUUGUGUUUAUUGAAGAUCGUAGUGGUAAAAGUAUAAAACUUAACAAGGGAUUGUACCACAGGAGAAAAAAAUGUCUUUGAUUUUAUUCUAUCUCUCAUGCCACAACAGUAGUCCAGAAGAAACCGACGAGGAUUUCUUUUGAUUCUCCGGCUCCACAGGCGAUGAAGAGUCGAGAAAAGGCUUUAGAAAGAGAAGAAGAUCCGUGGUCCACACGUUCAGUAGCAGCAGAUCUGUCAAUCAUCGUGGUGUGGCGCAUCUCUAGGGGCACGUGGAAAAACAAUGAGUACAGCUGUGAGGGCACGCACAGCUACGCCACAGGCGGGACAUUAAAA